UGCGGGCUGGUCGGGACGGCCCCGCACCAUGCGGGCCUGCUUCUCUCUGCUGGUGGCCACGGGAGGCGGGUGCCGGCCCAGGGCCGGGGUUGGCCGCUCGCUGGGGAGGCCCAGGAUGUGGCCCAGCGCCGAACCGCUCCCGCUGCAGCGUGCGCAGCUCUCCAGGAGGACCGCUGCACGCCGUGAAGGCGGACCAGCCGAAGCGGCCCUGAAGGCCCAGCGUAG
rnacentral:lncRNA from 1 species